rnacentral:rRNA from 1 species
GACGAACGCUGGCGGCGUGCCUAAUACAUGCAAGUUGAGCGCUGAAGGUUGGUACUUGUACCAACUGGAUGAGCAGCGAACGGGUGAGUAACGCGUGGGGAAUCUGCCUUUGAGCGGGGGACAACAUUUGGAAACGAAUGCUAAUACCGCAUAAAAACUUUAAACACAAGUUUUAAGUUUGAAAGAUGCAAUUGCAUCACUCAAAGAUGAUCCCGCGUUGUAUUAGCUAGUUGGUGAGGUAAAGGCUCACCAAGGCGAUGAUACAUAGCCGACCUGAGAGGGUGAUCGGCCACACUGGGACUGAGACAAGGCCCAAACUCCUACGGGAGGCAGCAGUAGGGAAUCUUCGGCAAUGGACGAAAGUCUGACCGAGCAACGCCGCGGGAGUGAAGAAGGUUUUCGGAUCGUAAAACUCUGUUGGUAGAGAAGAACGUUGGUGAGAGUGGAAAGCUCAUCAAGUGACGGUAACUACCCAGAAAGGGACGGCUAACUACGUG